rnacentral:rRNA from 1 species
CGGACGGGUGAGUAACGCGUAGGAAACCUGCCGUAUACUGGGGGAUAACACUUAGAAAUAGGUGCUAAUACCGCAUAAGCGCACAGCUUCGCAUGAAGCGGUGUGAAAAACUCUGGUGGUAUACGAUGGUUCCGCGUCUGAUUAGCUAGUUGGUGGGGUAGUGGCCUACCAAGGCAACGAUCAGUAGCCGGCCUGAGAGGGUGAACGGCCACAUUGGGACUGAGACACGGCCCAAACUCCUACGGGAGGCAGCAG